CGCGCGCCCGACCUCGGCCUCAGGCCUGGAGGAGGGAUCCCAAAUCUCGGCUCGGCUCGGCUCCCGCUGCCUCGCUUCUCCUUGACGUUUACUGUGUUUGGCAUCUCUGUUCCAACGCCAGCAGCCGUUUCGCGACCCACGGCGGACUUGCGUAAACACUUUCGAGUUGGAAUCUCACCCUGCGAGGUGGGCAGGGUGGUGAUAUUCCUGUUUGACGCCGACAGAAAUAAGACAGAUUGACUCUCAGAGUCAUGUGGCGGGAUUUUAAAGGGGGAUCUUAAUAGUGGCUCCAGACAGACCCGUGUUUUCUGCUUCUAGCAUUAACUACGUCAUUAAACACUUCUGAGUUAAUUUUGUCUGUGAAAUGGGGAAAAGAUAGCCACCUUGCAUAACUGGUGAAGAAUUCGUAAACUGACAGAAAAAUCUAGUAAAAGGACUGGCCCGUGGUCGGCUCUUAGUGGUGUAUGUGGGGCUGUGAACAUUCCCAGGUCUUCUGACCUCUUGUCUGGGACUUUUUCUGCUAAACUAUCGAUUCUCAGAGGCCCAGAGACUUCGGGAGAUCCGGGGGCAUCUUCAAGGGGAUCCCUGAGUUCUAAACUGCAGAGAAACACUCUUAAGAGAGAGAAUAAAUAUUUCCACCAUAUUAUUACGGAUAAUAUAUAUGUUGUCAUCUGUUUGCCAAAGACUGUUGUAAGUGCUUGUAUACAUUAAGUCACUUAAUCUUCACGGUGAACACUAUGGUACAUCCUAUUAUAAUUCCUAUUUUACAGGCAAAUAAACUGAGGCACGGAGACGUUAAAUACCUUUCCAGCUAAAAAGUGUGGGAGCUGUUUUACGUUCAUGCAAUCUAGCUGAUAAAGCCACACACAUUAGUGUUUGUACUGUAUAUUAUUGUGCAAGAGGUGUCUUUGAUAAUGAUUCUUGAGACACCAUUUACAAGAUGCCUCUGACUUUUAUUAAACUCUCAAAGGGCAGUAGAAGAAAAAAAGAAAAAUACAGAGGAACCUAAACCCUAAAUCAGAGACAGACUACAUGCAGAUGUACAAAUGGAAGAUUAGAAACCCAAGUUGUGGGUACCAUGUUUGGAAUUCCGUUUUAGCUGAAUGCUUUGGACUAUCACAUCCCUUGGUGGCUCCCUGGAGCUGCCCAUUAAGGAAGAACGAUUGAAUGACAGGAUUGGAAUGGAAUGUAGCCAUCAUCUUAUCUGACCACACAGACACCUCCCAGCAGAUGAAUGCAUCACCUCCACAUGAUAAUUUUGAAGACUUUCUGAGAAAGUGAUAAUAUUAGCCUGUUACCUCACAAUCACAAGGAACAGUACAGUGACUACAAACCCUAUGUGCCUUAUUCAACAGAUGUCACAGAAUAAAGAAAAAGACUGGGAGAGAGAUGGGAGCUGAUAGACCAGAGGAGACCAAAGACUUAAACUGAAGACUAAAUCAUGGGAAAUGGGAGCAAGGACUUAUUUGUUUAGAGGGUGAAAAGAGUGAAUUUGCCUACAGGGCAAAUCUGGAAGCAGCUCUCCCUGGGAGCCAGGUUAGAGUUCCUACUAAGGUGUCCUUGGUCUCUGCAGUGGUGGUGGCCUUGAACUACACAGCACACUUGGACACUCAGCUUCUGAAUGUCCAGAGCAGUCCUGAGUCUUGCCUGAGAAAAAUACUCAGGUGAUUGGGCUUCGCCUCUCCCUUCUGCCUUCUUUUCCUCCACCUUUCCAGGUCAGCCUGGGGAAUAUGGAGUGUGAGGAGGGAGGUGAGUGGAGGCUGAGUUUUGACCAAUGUUAUAUGACAUUUGAACCUGACCGAUGGCAAAAGGAAGAUCCUUUGGGAAGCAGGCCUAUGUUCUCAUCCCUUUUCCUGCCCCUUUGGAUCAGAUAGCUGUCAAUCAUUGUCUCUGGGGCUGGUAAAGAACAGAGAGGGGCACCGGACAACAUCAGCCAAGUAAAAGUAGUGCUGGGGGUUGGGUCCCAAGUGAUCUGUCAACACAUCCUGAAAUGGUAUUUUGAGUGACCAGAGAAAAUGCAGGCUCCAUGAAGGAGAGAAGUCUUGGGUGAUUCCUGUGGAGAAAUAUUGGUUGUGAGAUUUAAGAGGUGAAAGUGACAUAGACAGGAAAUGAGGCAAGAGGCUGAGAGUCAGUGGCACCACUUGCUUUGGAAAUGGAGCAAAGGCUGUGAAGCUCACAAAAGCUUGGUCCUGGGGUGAGGUGUGGGGAAGGUUGGCCACAUAGGACAAGAGCAGGGCUGCAGAGUUAAAGUCCCAAGGACAAGCAAUGUGACUGUCUUUCCAGAAAGAUUGGGACCUCACCAAACUGCCAUCUCCCAAGCCCUUCCAUCCAACAACUGGAUAUUCUCUCUACGGCAUGAAUAACAGUUAUUGUGCCACUUGGUAUACAAAGACAAUUAUUAUACAUUUGCUUUGUACUGGGCUUUUGCUAACUGGCUGUAAGUGCUAACCUUUCAUAAGUGACUCUAAAAAGGAUGAUUUCUGCACAGCUCUCUAAGUAUUUGUGGACCCAGUCAGGAAAGCGGAAAGAAGCAACAGGCUUAGCAGAUCAUUCUGAAUAGCUUUGGAAACAUAAGCCAGGGAGACCCAGAAUGAGUCAAAGAAGAGCCAUUGGAGGAUUUUAUACCAGGAACCAAAAAUAGAGUCUGAAAAUAGAGGCGCAGAGACUGGUCAACCGCAAUGAAGACCAAUCCAUUUGACCUCCAUCCUGGCUCAUCUCCUCUGUGUUCUCAUAGCAUCAUAUUACAGAAUGGAUCACA